CAUUUACCUAAUGCCUGUACCCUUAUUGUACCUAGGAAGCAAUUAACUUGCUUUUGAUUUUACAGGCUCAUAGGUGGAAGGGACUUGCCUUGUCACAGAUGAGACUUUAGACUGUGGACUUUUGAGUUAAUGUUGAAAUGAGUUAAGACUUUAGGGGACUGUUGUGAAGGCAUGAUUGUGUUUUGAAAUGUGAGGACAUGAGAUUUGGGAGGAGUCAGGGGCAGAAUGAUGUGGUUUGGUUGUGUCUCCACCCAAAUCUCAUUUUGAAUUUCCACAUGUUGUGGGCGGGACCCAGUGGGAGGUAAUUGAAUCAUGGGGGCAGGUCUUUCCCAUGCUGUUCUUGUGACAGCGAUCUCUCAUGAGAUCUAACAGGGAGUUUCCCUGCACAAGCUCUCUCUUUGCCUGCUGCCAUCUGUGUAAGAUGAGACUUGCUCCUCCUUGCCACCUACCAUGAUUGUGAGGCUUCUUCAGCCAUGUGGAACAAUUCAUGGAGAAAGCUACAAAAUACAAUCCAGAUGUUUUUCCUCCCCAACUCUGAAAACCUGAACCUGACCUUUCCCUAUUCCCAGGAACAGAAAAGACAAAGGCCUUGACUUGCUGCAGACCCUGGAAGUUUCAAAAACAGACCCAUAUAGAGACCAGGGACUCACUGACUUCUGAGGGAAGAGUGUGCCCAGGAAAGCGGGGAGGCAGAGAUUGCAGGAAAAGGCAGAAAUGUGAAAGCAAAAAGGCAGAUGGAAAAGGAGGAACAAUGUUAGAGGGUGUAUUUGUGAUAACAGUUUCAAGUCUGGGUGGGGAGUGCCCUGGCCCUUUGAUUGGCCUAAGUGGGUGAGGUGCUGGGGUAAGAAAUAACUCAGCACUCAGCAUUCCAGCCUUCCCCACUGUUAGCCAUCUUUGGAGUUAUUGCUGAAGUCCUUGAGUGAAGAAUGACUCAGACUUCCCCUGGGUUCCUCGGUGCAUUUACCUCUGGAAUAAAGGCCAACGUGAUGUCCAGAAUAGAGAAAGAAAUAGUCACUGGCAAGUACAAGACACACCUCUUUCAGGGGCUACGUUAUGGACAAAGUGUCCUCCUGUGGACAUCUGUCUGAGAAACCUUCCUCAAGAAAGUCCAUGCUCCAACAAGAGGCAUCUUGGAACUGAGACAGCCAGGUGGGAAGGGCUCCUGGCAAAACUUCAAUCGGUCUGCGCACUGGGAGGAAUGAACAGUGGGAUGGAGCCAUGGAAGUCUGCACCACCGUUUUCAGCAGGGAAGGGCCUGGCCCCUCCUCUUUCUGUGCGAAACUUGAGAUUCACACUUCAAGGUCUUGGAUCUUGGACAAGUCACAACUGUGUUACCUUCAAUGAAAACAGCAGACAAAUCUUAUUUGUGAUAUUUUUUGUGAUUCUCAGAACGUGCCAAGGAUCAAUGGAAGCAUUUGCCUCUUGUCACAUUCAGGCCACUGAACAGGUGGCCUGA
rnacentral:lncRNA from 1 species